ensembl:snRNA U6 U6 spliceosomal RNA
GUGCUCACUUUGGAAGCACAUAUAAUAAAGUUGCAAUGAUAGGAAGUAGACUGGCAGGCCCUACACAAGGAUGACAUGCAAAUUCGGGAAGCGUUCCAUAUUUUU